rnacentral:lncRNA from 1 species
CGCGAAAUUAUCGGAACUGUGGAAGUCGGAGACGAACGCCGGAGCUUCUACAGCUCCGGGCGACUGUAAAACAACCCCUAGACUCCGAUCUAGGUAUGAACAUGAAAUAGAAGAUGAGAGGAAUGUUUUUUAUAACGUCCGUUUGCCGUGAAACGGCCGGAGGUGUUCGGAAAGUGCGACGACACCGACGGCCUUGCCGGAGAUGGGUGUGCCUAUCCCGAGUCGAUUUCAUCCCAAAAACCUUGCAAAAAGACGAGAUAUAACUUCAAUUUCACAUCUAAGCUUCGAUCUAGAACAUAAAAAGAAAAACCCAAAGCUUACCUAACCGGAGAAAUAGAAGGAACUCGCCGGAGCAGGUGCGAUGGUGUGCAUGUGGGUUCGACGAGGAGGGAGGAGCAGAGGAGAUGGGUGAUGAGACCUAAAAACCCUUAACCAAACCAUUAUUAAGUUGAGAAGCGUGAGAGUGCUUUGAACACUCUUUCGUGGCCUUCCCACCGUGGUAGGCUCCAAUCGUUUGUGACUCGUACACCGGCUUCACCCUAUCAUGGGGGAGUACAAAGUGCGUGCUUACACUCAGGAGGAGUCUAUAUGGAUACUUGAUGUUGUGAAAGGUAGGCAACGAGAAUAGCCAACAUCAUCUCAUUGUGAGGUUGUUCUUGAACCCCUACCCGAACUUGCAUGGUGGGAAUGACUUAACUAAGUGCAAUAGAGCCAACAUCAUAUCAUUGUGAGGCUACAUUCUCUAGAGGCCAAAUAAGAUGGGUACUUGCAAGCAUGGAAGAAAAUAUCGAUAAUAUCGGCGAUAUAUCACCGAUAUUAUCGAAUUUUCGUUAACCCGAUAUUCUAAGUGGUAUCCAAGGGGUUUUUCGUCAUAAUUUCGCGAUAAUAUCGAUAAUAUCGAUAAUAUCGCGAUAUUAUCGAUAUUAUCGCGAAAUUAUCGGAACUGUGGAAGUCGGAGACGAACGCCGGAGCUUCUACAGCUCCGGGCGACUGUAAAACAACCCCUAGACUCCGAUCUAGGUAUGAACAUGAAAUAGAAGAUGAGAGGAAUGUUUUUAUAACGUCCGUUUGCCGUGAAACGGCCGGAGGUGUUCGGAAAGUGCGACGACACCGACGGCCUUGCCGGAGAUGGGUGUGCCUAUCCCGAGUCGAU